rnacentral:tRNA from 1 species
ACUUUCGUGGUGUAGUAGUCAGCACGAUCGACUCGUAUUCGAGAGAUCCGUGGUUCGAGUCCCGGCGAAAGGC